GGCAAUUCUAGCCUGAUUUGAGAAAUUAGUUUCAAUUUUAGCCAAUUGAUCAAAAUUGAAAUAAAGAAAAAUAUUUUGUUACAAAUUGGAAAUUAAAAAAAAAAAAUUCCCUUUUGUCACCCUCUUUUCCCCUGCCUUUCGCGUCUCUCUCCCUGUUGCCCUUUCCUCCUUUCUAUGCCCCUCCAACCCUGGGGAACCUGCAGCUGGUUUUGGCAUUCAUAUCUUCUCUCUUUUCUGAUGGACAAUGCUCAAGCGCAGCAGAUUCAUCUGAACCAGUGGUCCUCCUAAUAUGUUCAACAUUUUCCCACACAAAUCUUUGUGCCCUGGCCUUGAAUUGGUUCUAGAGCCCGAGCAUGCAGUAUGCAGUAUUGAGGAUGGAUGCCAAUCAAGGUUUUUUAGAGAAUGGAUACCAAUCUAUUCGUCCUCAUUUCAGUGAUCCUCUUGCAACCCUGGACCUCAAAACUUAGGCAAGUCUUGGGCAGCCUAUUACUCCAGAAUCAGUCAAGUAAAAGCGCAAUCCCAUCUGGCUGAGCAUAUAUUCCCCUACAGAUUCCAUGAAACUCUACUAACUUCGAAGAUUUAAGGCUUGGGCACUUGGAGUGAAGUAUUUCCACUUCUGGCCAUGCAUCCCUAACAUUGAGUCAAACACAUAGUUACCAGAUUUGUGGUACACUUAUGUCCCAAAUCACUGGGGGUUGCGAUCCGGGUCAUCGAAAUAGGAGUUUUGGUCAAAAAGAACCAGAAGAAAGGAAGGAGUAUAAGGAAAGGAAAAAAGAUAUAUGCAGGAGAAAAGAGCGACGGAGAGAAGAACCAAGAAGCAGCAGCAGACUCUUUUGGUUGGGGUAUCUAGAUCGCCGG
rnacentral:misc_RNA from 1 species